rnacentral:rRNA from 1 species
CAAUGCCUGCCCAGUGACAUGUUAAACGGCCACGGUAUCCUAACCGUGCAAAGGUAGCGUAAUCACUUGUCUUUUAAAUAAAGACUAGAAUGAAUGGCCAAACGAGGUUCCAUCUGUCUCUUACAAAUAAUCAGUGAAAUUGAUCUUUCUGUGCAAAAGCAGAAAUAACUAUAUAAGACGAGAAGACCCUGUGGAACUUCAAAUAUACAUCAACUAAUAAUAAUACAUACUUACGAGUUUAUAAUCACACGUACUGAUACGUAUUUUUGGUUGGGGCGACCUCGGAGUAUAACAAAACCUCCGAAGACGAAACAUAAAUUCUACACCUAGAUCCACAGUUCAAAGUGCCUACGGCAAAAAGAUCCAAUAUAAUUGAUCAACGAACUAAGCUACCCCAGGGAUAACAGCGCAAUCUCAUCUUAGAGCCCUUAUCAAUGAUGGGGUUUACGACCUCGAUGUUGGAUCAGGACAUCCUAAUGGCGCAGCCGCUAUUAAGGG